GUUUACAUGCGACACUGACCUUGCGUCAGUCGUCUGAAUAUCGCAUCAAUCAUACAACAAUGUCGCUGCUUUACGGUCCGGGCCGUCCGGGCGCGCAGGUCCGGUUCCUUGCAGAUUAGCAACACUAUACGUGAUGCGGCGCGUAAGUAGUUUGUUAAUUCGGAGUCUUCCUUUCAGUCGUCGUGUGUGAAAGGAUAUCAGGAGUGUUGAAUUAAUUUCGAGCAGCGCAUUGAUUAAACGAUAAUAACCUAACCUAACUUAAUCUAAUCUAACACAUCUUUCGAUCGCAAACGACAAAUCGAUUAUUCAUAUUGUUGAAGUAAGCGUUUAUCUAAAUCGCGUUGUAAAAGAGAGUUAUUAGCUUAAUCGCGGCCAUUAUUGCGCAUCGUAUUAAAAAAGUGAUUCGGUGAAUAAUUAAUAAGCGGACGCGAUCUGUAUAUUUUUCGGGAGUGUAUUAUUACGGUGCUAUCUCAGUGCAGAAAUAUAUCAGUGCGUGUGUGUGUGUGUGUAUAAUAAUUAUCAAAUUGAUUAUUAACUUGAAUGAAGCAGCUGCCGACAAGAAUGAUGUUACUCUGAUGACGAAAAUAAUGAUAAUGAUUGGCUUGGAUGAAGCAGCUGGCGACGAAAAAAGUGGAACUUUGGUGCAGGGACGAUGCAAUUAUGACAACCAGGAAGGUGCCAUUGUAGCAAAGGAGGCGGACGAGAUUAUGCUACAUUCUGCGCGUUCUGGCCGUAGAUCGGAAAGUAGAAAGACCGAGGGAAAAUGAGUUGGACGAAGUGCAUGAAGAAGAGCAAACGGAGGUAUCCUUCGAGUGUAACGUCGUCCUCUGCAAGCGAAUGAGCGGAACGUAUAUCGGAGGCCUAGAGAGGGAAGGAAGUUUAAGGACACAGAAGAAGAGAAGAACCGGGAAUCGAGGAGUAGCGAAACUUCAGCGCAAACUUUAGCGGCGGUGUCUCUACGGGUAAGUGA